rnacentral:rRNA from 1 species
AAGUCGAACGGGGUGCGGGGGCAACUCUGCAUUCAGUGGCGAACGGGUGAGUAAUGCAUCGGAACGUGUCCCGUAGUGGGGGAUAACGCCGCGAAAGCGGCGCUAAUACCGCAUACGCUCUGCGGAGGAAAGCAGGGGACCCGAGAGGGCCUUGUGCUAGGGGGGCGGCCGAUGUCCGAUUAGCUAGUUGGUGGGGUAAUGGCCUACCAAGGCGACGAUCGGUAGCUGGUCUGAGAGGAUGAUCAGCCACACUGGGACUGAGACACGGCCCAGACUCCUACGGGAGGCAGCAGUGGGGAAUUUUGGACAAUGGGGGCAACCCUGAUCCAGCCAUGCCGCGUGCGGGAAGAAGGCCUUCGGGUUGUAAACCGCUUUUAGCCGGGAAGAAAAGGCGCGGGCGAAUACCCCGUGUUUUUGACGGUACCGGCGGAAUAAGCACCGGCUAACUACGUGCCAGCAGCCGCGGUAAUACGUAGGGUGCGAGCGUUAAUCGGAAUUACUGGGCGUAAAGCGUGCGCAGGCGGUUCGUUGUGUCGGCGGUGAAAGCCCCGGGCUUAACCUGGGAACGGCCGUUGAAACUGGCGAACUGGAGUGUGGCAAAGGGGGGUGGAAUUCCGCGUGUAGCAGUGAAAUGCGUAAAGAUGCGGAAGGAACACCGAUGGCGAAGGCAGCCCCCUGGGCUAACACUGACGCUCAGGCACGAAAGCGUGGGGAGCAAACAGGAUUAAAUACCCUGGUAGUCCACGCCCCUAAACGAUUUCAACUGGGUGUUGGGGAAGCGAUUUCCCAGUACCGUAGCUAACGCGUGAAGUCGACCCCUGGGGGAGUACGGCCCC